UCCUGCUGCUGAAGGAAGGAGAAACAAAGACUUAGCAUGACUACAGACAAUCUCGUACUGAAGUUGUGGACUGCUCAUUUUCCCUUGGAAACUCAAGUUAAUCACUUUCUCUUUUCUUGGUAUUCCACAAUGAGCUGCUCUCUGAGGCACUGACCCUGUUACUACUGACUACCAACCCCAACACUUAUCAUGAUAAGUCUCAUUGGUUAAAGCAGCCUUCUAAUGGUUUUCACAUACACUUUACAGCCUGGCAUAAUUCACCACUGCCUCAUCCCAAUGCAAAAGAUCAGUGAAAAACUGACAUUUUAUUUGCAUAGUGCAUGGGUUUCCUGUAGUGCCAAUAUUUCUGAGUUGUAGAGCAAUAGCCAUUAGGACCUCAAUUUGUUGGCCAAAUUGAGGUUGAGAAAUUACCGAAACAGGUCUCUGGUGAUCAUAGACCAAAGGUAAAGCAAGUCAGUCUUCAUCUGCCCUUACUGCCAGUAUAUUACAGACCACACAAUUACCCUGGUUACUCCUUGCAUCCUCAAGUCCAGUAAAGUUUAACCAAAUCACAUAUUCUGCAAAACCCUCCUAUCAUAUCACAAGGCAGCAAAUCCUCAGGAACCAACUUGGCUUAAUCUGUUAAACAUUUGCCCCUUUACUGUAAUUUGCACUUGUCUGGUUUUAACUUCUGGUCAUGCGUUUUGUUCUGUUUUGUCAUUGUGGUGGGUACUUUAAAUGGGUAAUUUCUUUGUAUACAGAACUCCACGACUUGCACUUUAUUGGAUGACACUGAGUUGCCUGGCAAGUCAGUCUUUUUCAGUGCCUGUUGUCAUGAAAAAGCAAUCUGUCCAGGAGAAGAAAUUACAAAAAGGAUGUGAAAUCAUGACAGCUCAGAUUUCUUAUCUCCAUUUUUUGAGUCAAAAUUAUUGGGUGACUUUAGUCCCAGUGUAUGAACCAUUUGCUUGGGCAACACUACUUUUUUUUUACUUUUUUUUCCCCCCACAAUUUCUCUUAUAAAAGUACAAAAACCUAAAUAAUAACUGACAGCUCUCCCUAGGAAGCCACAUGGCCAUGCCUCUCCUCCGUGCUCACUGACUUUGUCCUUGUAAUAGUUGUGCUAUCAGCCAUGCCCCCUGCGCUCGCAUGGCACUUCAAAGCACCAUAAGGACCAUAAAGGCCAUAAGGACUAUUAUCCCCUUUCAAAAGGGAGAAGGAAGUGAAAUUCAUUGCACAGAGGAAUCACUGAGAUUGUGGUGGGACAAAACAAACUCUAAAGGAAACGGACCCCCACUGGGGUGGCUCACCUCAAGCAACGCAAACUGAGGGCUUUUUUUUUUUGUAGAAAAAGGAGUUUUUUGCUCAAAGAGCUGCACCCAGCAAAGAUAACCUGGGAAGGCAGUGUUGCUGCAGCUGUAAUCCCGCUGGGACACACUGGAGCCUUCGGAUCAUAAGCAUGUUGCUUCUGGAGGGUGCUUGAAGCCAAGACGUGGGGGGCACAGAGGGGUCCCACCGCAGUGUCUGCAUUUGGAGUCGGUACCGUGCACAGGAGGGAAGAGGAGGGGACAGACCCCACCAAGUCUCUGCUCUCUGCAGCUCACAGAUGGGCGAAUUAAUAAGAAGAAAGGAGUUCAGCUGCCGAAACUGCCCUUCUCCACGCUUGCCAUGUUGAAAGACUCCCUAUUAUAAGAUCCCAGGUGUGCUAAAUAAUAAUAAAAAUCCUAACCAUUCUUAUAAACA
rnacentral:lncRNA from 1 species